AAAAAAGGUUCAAAAUAAUCCGGUUUUUUUGGGUUAGAAAUAACUCCAUUUCUGGGGUUAAAAUGUAACUCCACUUUUGGGGUUAAUCUAACUCUCAUAUUGGAGUUAAAAUCUAACCCCUAUUCAGGAGUUAAAUAAUUUUAACUCCAUUUCAGGAGUUAAACCGGCACUCUUGAAGACUUUUCCUCAUCUUUUUAAUUAUUUUACACAUUUUUAAUGUUAUGAAAACCAAAACCAUGAAAAAACAUCACUCAGUUUUCAUAACAUUAAAAAUUGCGUAGAAAUAAUUAAAAAACGAGGUAACAUCUGCCAAGAGCGUUAGUUUACGCGGAA